rnacentral:rRNA from 1 species
GAUGUUAGCGGCGGACGGGUGAGUAACACGUGGAUAACCUACCUAUAAGACUGGGAUAACUUCGGGAAACCGGAGCUAAUACCGGAUAAUAUUUUGAACCGCAUGGUUCAAAAGUGAAAGACGGUCUUGCUGUCACUUAUAGAUGGAUCCGCGCUGCAUUAGCUAGUUGGUAAGGUAACGGCUUACCAAGGCAACGAUGCAUAGCCGACCUGAGAGGGUGAUCGGCCACACUGGAACUGAGACACGGUCCAGACUCCUACGGGAGGCAGCAGUAGGGAAUCUUCCGCAAUGGGCGAAAGCCUGACGGAGCAACGCCGCGUGAGUGAUGAAGGUCUUCGGAUCGUAAAACUCUGUUAUUAGGGAAGAACAUAUGUGUAAGUAACUGUGCACAUCUUGACGGUACCUAAUCAGAAAGCCACGGCUAACUACGUGCCAGCAGCCGCGGUAAUACGUAGGUGGCAAGCGUUAUCCGGAAUUAUUGGGCGUAAAGCGCGCGUAGGCGGUUUUUUAAGUCUGAUGUGAAAGCCCACGGCUCAACCGUGGAGGGUCAUUGGAAACUGGAAAACUUGAGUGCAGAAGAGGAAAGUGGAAUUCCAUGUGUAGCGGUGAAAUGCGCAGAGAUAUGGAGGAACACCAGUGGCGAAGGCGACUUUCUGGUCUGUAACUGACGCUGAUGUGCGAAAGCGUGGGGAUCAAACAGGAUUAGAUACCCUGGUAGUCCACGCCGUAAACGA